UACCACCCUUGUUCUGCUUGAUGUCUAACCGCGGUCCGUUAUCCGGAUCCGGGACCCUGUGUGGCGGGUAGUUUGACUGGGGCGGUCGCCUCCUAAAGCGUAACGGAGGCGCGCGAAGGUUGGCUCAGAGCGGUCGGAAAUCGCUCGUUGAGUGCAAUGGCAGAAGCCAGCCUGACUGCAAGACUGACAAGUCGAGCAGAGUCGAAAGACGGCCAUAGUGAUCCGGUGGUCCCAAGUGGGAGGGCCAUCGCUCAACGGAUAAAAGGUACGCCGGGGAUAACAGGCUGAUACUGCCCAAGAGUCCAUAUCGACGGCAGUGUUUGGCACCUCGAUGUCGGCUCAUCUCAUCCUGGGGCUGGAGCAGGUCCCAAGGGUACGGCUGUUCGCCGUUUAAAGAGGUACGUGAGCUGGGUUUAGAACGUCGUGAGACAGUUCGGUCCCUAUCUGCCGUGGGUGUAGGAUACUUGAGAGGAGUUGCCCCUAGUACGAGAGGACCGGGGUGAACGAUCCACUGGUGGACCAGUUGUCGUGCCAACGGCAGUGCUGGGUAGCUAUGAUCGGACAGGAUAACCGCUGAAGGCAUCUAAGCGGGAAGCCCCCCUCAA
rnacentral:rRNA from 1 species